ensembl:snoRNA small nucleolar RNA SNORD60
AGCCUGUGAUGACAAUAAAACUUUCUGACACCUUCUAUGAGAGCUGAACUCCAGCUCCUGAUUCUAUAUUUUUUUCUGAGGCCA